rnacentral:rRNA from 1 species
CCUACGGGGGGCAGCAGUGAGGAAUAUUGGUCAAUGGGCGCGAGCCUGAACCAGCCAAGUAGCGUGAAGGAUGACUGCCCUACGGGUUGUAAACUUCUUUUAUAAAGGAAUAAAGUGAGGCACGUGUGCCUUUUUGUAUGUACUUUAUGAAUAAGGAUCGGCUAACUCCGUGCCAGCAGCCGCGGUAAUACGGAGGAUCCGAGCGUUAUCCGGAUUUAUUGGGUUUAAAGGGAGCGUAGAUGGGUUGUUAAGUCAGUUGUGAAAGUUUGCGGAUCAACCGUAAAAUUGCAAUUGAUACUGGCGUUCUUGAGUACAGUGGAGGGAGGCGAAUUUCGUGUUGUAUUGGAGAAAUACUA